rnacentral:rRNA from 1 species
UUGAUCUCAAAUCAGGUAGGACUACCCGCUGAACUUAAGCAUAUCAAUAAGCGGAGGAAAAGAAACUAACAAGGAUUCCCCUAGUAACUGCGAGUGAAGCGGGAAGAGCUCAAAUUUAAAAUCUGGCGUGCCUCUGGUCGUCCGAGUUGUAGUCUGGAGAAGCGUCUUCCGUGUUGGACCGUGUAUAAGUCUCUUGGAACAGGGCGUCAUAGAGGGUGAGAAUCCCGUCUUUGACACGGACUACCAAUGCUUUGUGAUGCGCUCUCAAAGAGUCGAGUUGUUUGGGAAUGCAGCUCAAAAUGGGUGGUAAAUUCCAUCUAAAGCUAAAUAUAGGCGAGAGACCGAUAGCGAACAAGUACCGUGAGGGAAAGAUGAAA